UAAAAAAUGGCAAGUCGAACGGGUAACAGGGAUAGCUUGCUAUCUGCUGACGAGCGGCGGACGGGUGAGUAAUGCAUAGGAAUCUGCCUGGUAGUGGGGGAUAUACCAGAGAAAUUUGGAUUAAUACCGCAUACGCCCUACGGGGGAAAGCUGGGGACCUUCGGGCCUAGCGCUAUCAGAUGAGCCUAUGUCGGAUUAGCUUGUUGGUGAGGUAACGGCUCACCAAGGCGACGAUCCGUAGCUGGUCUGAGAGGAUGAUCAGCCACACUGGGACUGAGACACGGCCCAGACUCCUACGGGAGGCAGCAGUGGGGAAUAUUGGACAAUGGGCGCAAGCCUGAUCCAGCCAUGCCGCGUGUGUGAAGAAGGCCUUCGGGUUGUAAAGCACUUUCAGCGAGGAGGAAAGGGGUGUUGCUAAUAUCAACGCCCUGUGACGUUACUCGCAGAAGAAGCACCGGCUAACUCCGUGCCAGCACGGGGGGUAAAUAUAA
rnacentral:rRNA from 1 species